UACGUAGGGUGCGAGCGUUGUCCGGAAUUAUUGGGCGUAAAGGGCUCGUAGGCGGUCUGUCGCGUCGGGCGUGAAAACUCAGGGCUUAACCCUGAGCCUGCUUCCGAUACGGGCAGACUAGAGGUAUGCAGGGGAGAACGGAAUUCCUGGUGUAGCGGUGGAAUGCGCAGAUAUCAGGAGGAACACCGGUGGCGAAGGCGGUUCUCUGGGCAUUACCUGACGCUGAGGAGCGAAAGUGUGGGGAGCGAACAGA
rnacentral:rRNA from 1 species